UGCCAGGAUUACACAGCGAUCAGCUCAGGUGCGCACCACAGAAAAAAAACAAACACACAAAUUAAGAACAGCCAUAAAUAACACCCAGGUGUGCAUAAACACGUGAACCCCGAGGGGAGGCAGCAUGUUUCCACACCUGUAAGGGUACACUACACCUGACAGGACUGCUUGCCACGGCCCUGAGGCACAGAUCUUAACGAGAAGAGAGUUUCAAAGCUGUACUGCAGAUGCACAGCAUUCUCUGGUCGCCUCAGAAAAAUCAAGUGUUGUGUUUGUGAAUCCGGAGAACAGAAGGUCAGCAGUCGCCGGCUGUGGCGGGUCGCUAAUCCGCCGCGCCGCUGGAGGGACGAGCCGCCGUGGGAGUUUUGGGAAUACCGGGAGCGAGAAAAAACAAAGGAGGCGAACGUCGACCACAGAUAUGGAACCGGUACUGAUUAAGGAUGCGUGCGGGCCCCCGUGCGGCUCCACCGAAAGCAGGCCUCUGGAUCAAAACCGGUCCCGCUCGCGCCCAGGAACAAUAGGCUGCUUUGAAACACAGAGGUGUCUUUUUGAGUGGGCGCAGUCUUUGUUCCCACUCAGCUUGAUGCAGUGCAGCACUGAGCAGGCAGCAAUGGAUAUUCACCAUAAGCCAUGUUAGGAAACCGAGUACUGAUUAAAACAAAAAAAAAAAAAAAUUGCAAGAAAACAUUUGGGGACAAUUUGAGGAUAUAUAUGUAUUAAAAGUUACCUUUUAUGAGUGUGAAUGCAAUUAACAAAAAUGUAUCCACCGUCUUCCCUUGCACUGGUUACAGACCAACAUGUUUUAAUAAAUGAUGGUUCCUCCAUUUUGUGCAGUGAAAUUAGCCAUGCUAAUGACUUUAGCAAUUACAGCCAUGUCCAGCUUUGAAGGUGAAUGGCCCUGGGAGGAGGUGCAGUAUGUUCCCAGACCCUUCUGCACCUCCUCCACAGCGGGGAGCAGGGCAAGCUUCACCUCCCCUGAGCACCUCCCGGGUAUUGGGUGUUCUGUAGUCCAGGGCACCACCAACAAAGGCCUCUGAGAUUGCACAGUAGUAUCGUCAUACAGCUUACUUAAAAUUUUAAUUUUCAUGAUGUUUUUCGUGUGUCUUAUCAGCUUUAAGAUCAGCAGGUGGCAUUUUUAAGUACACAUGAUGAGUGACUCAUGUUCCUCCCAUUGAACUCAGGAAUAAGGCUCUCUGUCAACAUCUGACCUAGCUUCUGGAGAAAAAAGAAAAUCAAAAAUAAAAUAAAAAAAGCUCCCCGCGUUCGCUUCGCUUGCGUCGUUAGACGGGCGCUGUCUGCGUUUCCGUCCGGGUUAGGAUCACGGCGAGCGAUUUGUGCGUGAAGCGCAGACAGGCGCACCGCGGCGCGCUCACGGAAGCGAAGGCUGACCCCCCCGCUCUGAGCUCCUCGUCGUGGAACGAGGUGA